rnacentral:lncRNA from 1 species
GCCCCCAACUUCUCAUUCACACUUUCCCCCCACCCCCCUCCCUUCUAAGAAGGCUGAUUUCUGGCAGAGGCGGGGGCGCCGCUUCGGGAGAGCGGGCAGUUCUAGGAGGCCGACCUGGAGAGCCUCCCGGUUCCCCUUCCCCUUUUCCCGGACCCCGCGGGGACACCCCCUCGCCGCCACCCGGGCCUCCCCGAGGGCCCAACUGCGGGUCAGGCGGCCCGGGCCAGCCGAAAGGGAAGUGGGGCUACCCCACAGCCAGGCAGCGGGGCUGGGGUCAGACCCGGGAGCCGGAGGUUGGAGACGUGCGACAGUCACCUGCGGGCAGAUUCCAGAGGGGAGACCCAGGGCUGCAGGGGACGCCCCUUCGUGGCAGCUACCCAGCCUCGGCCCACUGCCAGUGUUACGUGGCUGCAUGACCAUACACUUCUGGGUAGAGCCCAGUGGAAGACAAAGAAGACUCAAGGAAUAGCCCUUGAGGGCUCAGGAGCUAUACAGAUGGGAUAGAGGGUGUGAGUGCUGGGAAGCCCCAUCCAUGGCUCGCUGGAGAUUAGAGGCCUGUUAAUCUGAAGACAAAGGAAUGAAGACGAAAACGUUUCUGAAAAUGUGGGUGGAGACACCUGGGCCUUUACAGGGUACGCUCCAGAGCUGCUUCCAGGCAGGGACCCCGGCUGAGAGAAGCCAGAGCCAGAGAGUCGCAGGCUUGCUUGCUCUUAUCUUCCCUCUGCUGGGGGGGUCGAGGGGAGAUCUGGCCCCUCUGCUCUGCCCUCCUGAUUUCCCGUCUAAGGGAUUUAGGAGACUUUUGCCUUUUCCUAAUCUCUCCCUUUGCAGAAUUUCUGCGAAGUCACAAUCCCAUUUCCAGGCAAAGGUGCUUGGUCAUAAAGAUAAUAAAGAUAUUCAUUCAUGAUGGAGGGGAAG